GCGUGCCGGUGAUGAUGCAAAAGCAUCGGUGAAUUCUGGAUGAACGCGCUUGCGCACCGCUCUGGUGAUAUCCACUGCGUGAUACUCUGAGGCACAC
rnacentral:snoRNA from 1 species